rnacentral:sRNA from 1 species
GGGUAACAGAGCUUUCGAGCUCGGCUCGACUCUCCCACCCUUUGUGAACGUACCUCUGUUGCUUUGGCGGCUCCGGCCGCCAAAGGACCUUCAAACUCCAGUCAGUAAACGCAGACGUCUGAUAAACAAGUUAAUAAACUAAAACUUUCAACAACGGAUCUCUUGGUUCUGGCAUCGAUGAAGAACGCAGCGAAAUGCGAUAAGUAAUGUGAAUUGCAGAAUUCAGUGAAUCAUCGAAUCUUUGAACGCACAUUGCGCCCCUUGGUAUUCCGGGGGGCAUGCCUGUUCGAGCGUCAUUACAACCCUCAAGCUCUGCUUGGAAUUGGGCACCGUCCUCACUGCGGACGCGCCUCAAAGACCUCGGCGGUGGCUGUUCAGCCCUCAAGCGUAGUAGAAUACACCUCGCUUUGGAGCGGUUGGCGUCGCCCGCCGGACGAACCUUCUGAACUUUUCUCAAGGUUGACCUCGGAUCAGGUAGGGAUACCCGCUGAACUUAAGCAUAUCAAAAAGCGGGAAGGAGGA